rnacentral:rRNA from 1 species
GGGGAGCGGAUGAAGUUCGUCUUCCUUUCGGGGACUGCCACAGAGGUGCUGCAUGGCUGUCCCCAGCUCGUGUCGUGAGAUGUUGGGUUAAGUCCCGCAACGAGCGCAACCCCUAUUCUUAGUUGCCAGCGAGUAAUGUCGGGAACUCUAAGGAGACUGCCCCGGAAAUCGGGGAGGAAGGUGGGGAUGACGUCAAGUCCUCAUGGCCUUUAUGUCCAGGGCUACACACGUGCUACAAUGGACGGUACAAAGGGUUGCAACAGCGCGAGCUUGAGCUAAUCUCAAAAAACCGUUCUCAGUCCGGAUUGCAGUCUGCAACUCGACUGCAUGAAGCUGGAAUCGCUAGUAAUCCCUGAUCAGCAGGCAGGGGUGAAUACGUUCCCGGGCCUUGUACACACCGCCCGUCACAUCACGAAAGUCGGCUGUACCGGAAGUCGGUGCGCGAACCGCAAGGACGCAGCCGCCCAUGGUAUGGUCGGUGAUUGGGGUGAAGUCGUCGUAACAAGGUAACCGUAA